CAAUGGACUCUUUCUUUUUUUUUUCUUUUCCUUUUCCUUCUUUUCUUUCUCUUUCCCCGACUGCCCUCUCUCUCUCUUCUCUUUCUCUUUUUUCUCUCUUCUCUCCACGGCAACACACCACCACCACUAAGACCCAACCUCCGGCAACCACCAUUUUUGGCAUACGACGGCAGAUUGGAUUCUCCUUGCUCCGGCGACCUCAACCACCAAGCGGCACCGCUCAACUCGCCGUAAGUUGUUCGGAAUAGUCAGUCAAAGUUUUGGUCCGUCAACUUUGACUGUGUUUUCCGGCCAACUCCGACCACCCUUCGGCAAGUGGUUGAUACCUUUGGAACCAGCGUGGAGAGAGGAACAAAACCCACUAAUUCAUUCCGGUCAACUCGCCAUUUUUCUCCGGCAAGAUUUUGGGUAUCUCUGCCCUUUGGAAGCGUUUUCCGGCGACACCGGAGGUCAUUUGGGCGAAGGAGUUGUACUUUCGUGAUGUACUCAUCGAGAGGAUCGUUUUGAUAUAUGCUAUGCAUAUAUUCGUUGACGUUUCCGGUACUGCCACCAACUGCUAUAGUGCACCGCUUGGGAAAAACGUGAUAUUAAAAUCGGACUAAAUCAUUCUAAGAUCAUCGAUAAGCUUAGGAGCGUUGCUUUGGGCUCGGAUUAAAUUCUAAGGAGGUAUCUAAAGAGCAUUACAAGAAGAACGAAUAUAUGGAGGCAGAAAUGCAAUGUCCAAAUGCUUUACAAAGCAUGGAAAUGAAGCUUAGAACAACUUGCAAUGCUACGAAUGCUAAGUUCGACAAUGUUGUGAAGGUAAGCAUUUUCGGUCCUUGAUGGUCUUGUAUCAUAGUAUGAAAAUCAAGUCAUGGUCUAGGAAAAUGGCAGAAGCUAGCUAUGUUCUUACAAAAAAGUUUUGAAGGUCCAAUACUUGAUCUCACCAAGAGAUUAAUUGACCAAGUUGGAUUAGAGAAAAAUACACUUCUGUUAAAAUGCCGGUCAAUCGAAGAUAAUUUUGCGUUACUGAACAAGCAGCUGGAAGCAAGUGAUAAGUCAAAGUCUGAAUAUCUGAAGCGUUAUGGGGAACCUAUCGAUGAGAAGAAGCGGCUAGCUGAUGAAUAUAUGGCUCGUAUAGCAAACUUACAGAGUAAUUGUAGUUCACUAGGUGAGAGGUACUCUAGCUUGUUGAAGGCACUGGAUACCGCCAAGCAAGAUUCUGUGGACUGGCAAAGAAAAUAUGAGCAGAUCUGAUGAAAUAUAUUUUGAUUAAGUUUGCUAUGUAAUUUUUGUCUUUGUAAUAUGUAAAUUUGGUUUAUUUUUUGAUUGUUGACUGUUGUUGGUGUAAUAAAUUUAUAAAAUUGUUGAAUAAAAAAGUUUAUAAGUUUAUUUCUUUUAUUAGAAA